rnacentral:rRNA from 1 species
AUGUGCAUCAAGUUUGAGUUCAGGACACUAAACCUGAUAAGAUCCUGCAAAUUCUACAGAGAGAAAUGUUUGGCUGGACCAUGGACCUCCGCGGGCAGCGAAUGUUUGAUGCUUAUUCAGGUUAUGUGCCGCUACACCGUUCUUCCCCACCCCUAUAUUCAGGUGCCACCAUUUUAUCCAUUCAACUUUAAACAAUCUACCACACCCGUAAAUUCAGGUGCUGCUAUUCUAUCUGCUCAAUCUUCUUUUGUAACGUUCAGUCUUCGUCAAAUGUUUCUAAUAUUCUCACCCAAGAUGGAGGGGUAUGGCAAAUCACAUCUUAAAGUCUCAGUCCUCUUUUACACAUGCAGACAGAAAUUUACAUGCUUCUUAUUUGCAGUACAUUAUUUUGUACGGUAG